UGGGGAAUAUUGCACAAUGGGGGAAACCCUGAUGCAGCGACCCCGCGUGGAGGAAGAAGGUCUUCGGAUUGUAAACUCCUGUUGUUGAGGAAGAUAAUGACGGUACUCAACAAGGAAGUGACGGCUAACUACGUGCCAGCAGCCGCGGUAAAACGUAGGUCACAAGCGUUGUCCGGAAUUACUGGGUGUAAAGGGAGCGCAGGCGGGAGAACAAGUUGGAAGUGAAAUCCAUGGGCUCAACCCAUGAACUGCUUUCAAAACUGUUUUUCUUGAGUAGUGCAGAGGUAGGCGGAAUUCCCGGUGUAGCGGUGGAAUGCGUAGAUAUCGGGAGGAACACCAGUGGCGAAGGCGGCCUACUGGGCACCAACUGACGCUGAGGCUCGAAAGUGUGGGUAGCAAACAGGAUUAGAUACCCUGGUAGUCCACACCGUAAACGAUGAUUACUAGGUGUUGGAGGAUUGACCCCUUCAGUGCCGCAGUUAACACAAUAAGUAAUCCACCUGGGGAGUACGACCGCAAGGUUGAAACUCAAAGGAAUUGACGGGGGCCCGCACAAGCAGUGGAGUAUGUGGUUUAAUUCGACGCAACGCGAAGAACCUUACCAAGUCUUGACAUCCCUUGACAGGCAUAGAAAUAUGUUUUCUCUUCGGAGCAAGGAGACAGGUGGUGCAUGGUUGUCGUCAGCUCGUGUCGUGAGAUGUUGGGUUAAGUCCCGCAACGAGCGCAACCCUUAUGGUCAGUUACUACGUAAGAGGACUCUGGCCAGACUGCCGUUGACAAAACGGAGGAAGGUGGGGAUGACGUCAAAUCAUCAUGCCCUUUAUGACUUGGGCUACACACGUACUACAAUGGCGUUAAACAAAGAGAAGCAAGACCGCGAGGUGGAGCAAAACUCAGAAACAACGUCCCAGUUCGGACUGCAGGCUGCAACUCGCCUGCACGAAGUCGGAAUUGCUAGUAAUCGUGGAUCAGCAUGCCACGGUGAAUACGUUCCC
rnacentral:rRNA from 1 species